rnacentral:rRNA from 1 species
UACGUAGGUGGCAAGCGAUACUCGGAAUCACUAGGCGUAAAGCGCAUGUAGGAGGUUUGGAAAGUCUCUUGUGAAAGCUCCCGGCUUAACUGGGAGAGGUCAAGGGAAACUACUAGGCUAGAGUGCGGUAGAGGUAGCUGGAAUUCCCGGUGUAGCGGUGAAAUGCGUAGAUAUCGGGAGGAAUACCUAUGGCGAAAGCAGGCUACUGGACCGUCACUGACUCUGAUCUGCGAAAGCUAGGGGAGCAAACAGG